rnacentral:rRNA from 1 species
UACGGAGGGUGCGAGCGUUGUUCGGAAUCACUGGGCGUAAAGCGCGUGUAGGCGGCCCAUUAAGUCUGAUGUGAAAGCCCGGGGCUCACCCCCGGAAGUGCAUUGGAAACUGAUGGACUCGAGUCCCGGAGAGGAGAGUGGAAUUCCUGGUGUAGCGGUGAAAUGCGUAGAUAUCAGGAGGAACACCGGUGGCGAAGGCGGCUCUCUGGACGGCGACUGACGCUGAGACGCGAAAGCGUGGGGAGCAAACAGG